CAGGUGCUAAUACCGGAUAAGAAAGCGGAUCGCAUGAUCAGCUUUUAAAAGGCGGCGUAAGCUGUCGCUAUGGGAUGGCCCCGCGGUGCAUUAGCUAGUUGGUAAGGUAAAGGCUUACCAAGGCGAUGAUGCAUAGCCGAGUUGAGAGACUGAUCGGCCACAUUGGGACUGAGACACGGCCCAAACUCCUACGGGAGGCAGCAGAU
rnacentral:rRNA from 1 species